GGGUAUCUGCUGGGGCUUGAAAACGCGAGAGAGAUUGAAAGGGGUAAUGCAGGGCUCAAGAAUUCUCAGAAAUCGAUGUAAAAGUCGAUGCAAUUCCUUUCCGUUAUCUUUGCCAGAACAUAGCAAGUAUAUUGUUUGUACUCUAUUAAUUAUUAAAAAGUGCAGUUAAGAAUCUGACGCAUUUGUAUAUAUGUCACUUCAUUAAAGGGGAAAAAAAUAAUCAUGGAAGAAAAGUUAAUUCAGAAAAGGGAGCAUAUGGCAAUUUGAUUUCAAGCGGAGAUACAUCAACGAACGAAAAUGAAAGAAGGAAAAGAAACAAAAUAUUAAGAGACGAAAAGUUCCAUAGUCAAAAAUUAGUGUAUGGUAUCAAAAGUAAAUAUCCAAAGGAAAGAAGGGUAUAAAAAGUAGGGAUUAAACCAGGCACAGCGCAAAAUGGGAGGUAUAUGGCGUGGUAUAGACAAAAUAUCAUAUGCGAGAAAAAGAAAAAUUCAACAUGAUCUGUCCAGGUUGAUUUAAAACAUGCGAAAAAAAGAAAUACGAAUGACAAAUGAAACAUGGACGGAUCUGUCAAAAGAGUGAGCGACUGGGUAGAUAGGUGUUGCCAAAAAUGACAAAAAACAACUGCAGGAAUUCAGAAACUGAGAGGUAAAUUUUCAAUGAAAAAUGAGAGACUAGGAGAGAAAAAUCAAGAAAAUAGAAAAUGAUAUGUUAAUGUACAAUGGAAAUAGAGAAAGCGUGGCUGAGAAUCGAAAAGAAAAGCCGACGCUCUGAAGGAGCAAAAGCGAACGAAGUAGUAAAAGAAGCGAAAUCGCUAUGCAAGUGGGAGUAAAAAAUGUGUGAAAACAGGGUGAAUAUGAAAAUCCAACAAAUUACAAUAUUUCUGAAUGAUGUAAUUCAGAAAAGAAAAUAGAAUAGGGAGA
rnacentral:sRNA from 2 species